GUUGGCAUGGGAAGAAUCAUCUCAUACCACAUUCUAUUUGUGAAGUGCAACCUUGCUAGUCCUAACUUGCUUGUGUGGAGUUUGCUUUCUAUGUUUCAAUAUUCAAUUCUAGCAAGAUACAAUAAAGAGAAUGAAGAUGAAGAAUACCAACAAAUGAGUAAGAGAAAGCACUCCAUGAGUCAUACAAGGCAGCAAGAGGUGUAAGAAGGCUCAUCUUCUUUGCAUGAAAGAAGAUAUCCAACACGUGAGAGAAGACCACAAGGUGAAUGGUGAAAGCACCACAUCUUUCUACAACAAUUGGAUGUAAGUGGUUGCUUAGAACCAAGAGAGAUCCAAGCCAUUGAAGGUCAACAAUGGGCUAUAUAUUCUUUGUUUGAGUGGGAGCCAUAUCUUCGAAUAGCAAGAGACAACCAAAUAUUGCAAGGUCCACAAUAGGGGCAGAGUAUUUGGCAGCAAGUCAUAAAGCAAUGGAGGCAAUUUGGUUGAGGUUUUUAUUGGAAGAUAUUGGACUUGUGCAAUUCGAAGCUACUCCAUUGAGGUGUGACAAUCAAGGAUGUCUUGCUUUUGGAAAGAAUCCAAAACAUCAUGCAAGAACUAAGUACAUUGAUAUUCAGCAUCAUUUCAUAAGAGAGAAGAUAGAGAUGGAGGUUAUUGAUAUGAUGUAUUGUGAAACCAAAGACAUGUUUGCUGAUUUGUUGACAAAAGCCUUAGUUAGAGAAGGACACAACAAGUUGAGUAAGGCAUUAGGAUUGAUAGCUAAUUGACCAAUAGUAAAGUGGGAGUGUUGAAAAAAGAACUCUUUAAGUAGUUGCUAAUGGUCAAUAGAGUACAAGUGUUGUUAAGGACAUCCCAUAAGGUAGGGUGCUGGUCUAUAGUGCAUUAGAGUACAAGGGGAGGGCUGGUCCUAGGAGAUAUCCCAUAUGGAUUGUAGCACUUGGUACCUUGGUACAAGUAUAUAAGGAAAGGGUUGGCAUGGGAAGAAUUAUCUCUUACCACACUCUAUUUGUUAUAGUGCAACUUUGCUGGUCCUAACUUACUUGUGUGGAGUAUGCUUUCUAUGUUUCAAUAUUUAUAUCGAUGAAUUACAAGUUUACUCAAAAGGAGGUUCUUCUUCAUCUUUGGCACAUGCAACACAUCCUUGAGAGUGAUUCUCUUGCUUAUGCCCUUCACCACCACCUCCACUACAAUGGUGCCUAUUCCAAUGGCUUGUACCAUAAAAUUAUCACCUAACCAAACGUUGGUUGCUUGAAUUGGUUGACAAGUGUUAAAUGAACACUUGUAUGGAGUCAUGUGUUUGGUACAUCCGGAAUCCACAAUCCAUUUGCUCAUACCAAACAUGGAAGGAGUUUGUUUUGCCAUAAAUGCAAAGUCUUCACCUCCAUGGUCAUGAAAAGCAUUGUUGGCAUUCUCUCUUUCUCCUCUCUUUGCCUUGAAACAAUUUCUAGCAAAGUGGCCUGAUUUUCCACAAACGUAACAAGUUUUAGAUGGAUUAUGUUGAGAAGGGACACUUGCCUUACUUGGUCUUGUAAAUAGUGCUGAUUGCUCCCCAAUAGACUCCUUUUGCUUUCUUUUGGUCACUUCAUGAGCUAGUCUUGCCGUUACAUAGUCCAAAGUAAGGUCUUUCCUUGAAAUGGACUCCAAUGCCACAAUGAGGGAGGAAUAGGAGUCUGGAAGGCUUGAGAGCAAUGUCAUCACAACAUCUUCUUCAUGUAAAGGCUUGUCAAUAACAGCAAGUUGGUUUGCAAGUGCCUUUAACUUAUUUACAUAAGCCAUGAGAUCUUCACCUUCUUCCAUCUUCAUGGUGAAGAACUUUUGCGUUGACCAUAGCACAUUGGAAAGAUUCCUACUCUCAUAGACAUUGCAAAGAGUCUUCCAUGCAUCUGCUGCUCCUUUGCAAGAAAUGACAUGAGCAAAGUUGGUUUCAUCUAAGUUGGUGGCAAUUAUGCCAAAAGCCUUCUUUUUUCGUCUUUUGAAGUCCUUUUGCUCCUUCAUGCUUGCCUCUAAUCCAGGUGCCUCUUCCUCCUCACAUACUAUCUCCCAAAGAUCCAAUGAUGCCAAAAGUAGUUCCAUUUUGGCCUUCCAGUGGUGUAAGUUGUCACCUCUAAACUUUUCUACCAUUCUUAAGCUAUCACUCUCAAAAGAUGCCAUCUCAAGCUACAAGUAGGUCCAAAAAUCUCUUGAUUUGGAGUUGUAAUGCAUAAGAUAUGACUACUCAAAGUUUGCUGAACUACAAACUCAGAAUUUGUUAUAGUGCAACCUUGCUGGUCCUAACUUACUUGUGUGGAGUAUGUUUUCUAUGUUUCAAUAGCCCAUAGCAUCUCUUUUGGUUCUAAACACCCACUUACAUCCAAUUACUGAACGAUUUGGUGGAAGUGGAGUCAACUCCCAUGUUGCAUUGUCCAUAAGAGAUUUGUACUCUUCUUGCAUGGCACUCUCCCACUUCAUUGCAUCACCACACCUCAUUGCAUCACAUAAAGUCAAUGGAUCAUCAAGAAGAGCAACAUUGGCAUGGUCUUCACUUACUUGUGGAAAGAUGUGAUUCUUCCACCAUUCACCUUGUGGUCUUCUUUCACGUGUUGGAUAUCUUCUUUCAUGCAAAGAAGAUGAGCCUUCAUGCACCUCUUGCUGCCUUGUAUGGCUCAUGGAGUUCCUUCUCUCACUCCUUGGUUGGUAUUCUUCAUGUUCAUUCUCUUCAUUGUCUUUGUUGUAUCUUGCUGGAAUACAACUCUUCAUAGUGUUGGGUUCUUCUUCAUCUAUAUCUUCACUUUGAGAAUGUUCUUCUUCAUCUAUAUCUUCACUUUGAGAAUGUUCUUCUUCAUCUUCUUGUUUGUUUGUUGGAGUUGAAGAUGUGUCCACAAACACACCACUACUCCCACUUCGACACAUCUCCCACUUUUCACUACCACUCUUAUGCUCUAAGAACUCUACAUCACGACUUUUGAUGAUCUUUUUGGUAUCUAAACACAUGAGCCUAUAUAUCUUGGUGCCUUCGCAAUAAGCAAGGAAUAUACAUCUUGUGCCUUUUGCAUCAAGUUUGCCUCUCAUACUAUCUGGAACCUUGGCAUAAGCAAUGCAUCCAAAAAUCUUCAUGUGAGGUAUGCAAGGUUUCUUACCAGUCCAAGCUUCUUGGGGAGUCAAUCCUUCAAGUGCACUUGUGGGACACCUAUUUCUUGUAUACACUGCAUUUACCACAGCUUCCGCCCAUUACUCAUACCCAAGUUUUUGAGCAUGAAGCAUACUCCUAGCCAUCUCCACAAUGGUGCGAUUUACUCUUUCAGCAACUCCAUUUUGUUGUGGGGUGUAGGGAGUGGAGGUUUAUCUUGCAAUGCCUUCAUGUUUCAAUAAUUCAUUAAAGUGAUGAGAUAAAUACACACCUCCAUUGUCCGAUCUGAGCACCUUAAUCUUGUGCUCACAUUGCUUCUCCACAAGUACUUUCCACUCCUUAAACUUGGCAAAACACUCACUUUUGGCCUUGAUGAUGUAAAUCCAUACCUUCCUUGAGGAGUCAUCAAUAAAUGUGACAAAGUACCUUGCUCCACUCAUAGAUGGUGUCCUCAUAGGUCCACAAACAUCCGAAUGCACAAGCUCCAGUAAUUGGUUUGCUCUUGAUGCAACUCUGCUAGGAAAUGGUGUCCUAUGUUGUUUGCCUUGAAUUCAUCCCUCACAAGCAAAAUUCAUGGUAGAAUGGCCAAGGUCUAAGCCACUUACCAUAGAUUGAAGCUCCUUCAUGCUUUUGGCAUUCAAAUGCCCAAGUCUUUGAUGCCAAAUGCCCACCUUGUCUAUAUUUGAUGGAAAUUCAGCAAAUGCAGCAACCUCCACUCCAUUGAUCUUCUUGCAAUUGAUAAUAUAGAGAUUUCCAUCCCUAGUUCUCUUUGCUACUUCUUUGCCUUCCAUGGUUCUCACAAAACACCCAUUCAUAUCAAAUUGCAUUCUACAUCCAUGAGUUACAAGUUUACUCACCGAAAGGAGGUUCUUCUUCAUCUUUGGCACAUGCAACACUUCCUUGAGUGUGAUCCUCUGGCUUGUGCCCUUCACUACCACCUCUACUAUAAUAGUACCCAUUCCAAUGGCUUGUACCAUACCAUUAUUACCUAACCAAACCUUGGUGGCUGAAAUUGGUUGAUAAGUGUUAAAUGAACACUUGUAUGGAGUCAUGUGUUUGGUACAUCCAGAAUCCACAAUCCAUUUGCUCAUAUCAAGCAUGGAGGGAGUUUCUUUUGCCAUAAAUGCAAAGUCUUCACCUCCAUGGUCAUCAAAAGCAUUGUUGGCAUUCUCUCUUUCUCCUCUCUUAGCCUUGAAAUAAUUUCUAGCAAAGUGGCCUGAUUUUCCACAAACGUAACAAGUUUUAGAUGGAUUAUGUUGAGAAGGGACACUUGCCUUACUUGGUCUUGUAAAUAGUGCUGAUUGCUCCCCAAUAGACUCCUUUUGCUUUCUUUUGGUCACUUCAUGAGCUAGUCUUGCCGUUACAUAGUCCAAAGUAAGGUCUUUCCUUGAAAUGGACUCCAAUGCCACAAUGAGGGAGGAAUAGGAGUCUGGAAGGCUUGAGAGCAAUGUCAUCACAACAUCUUCUUCAUGUAAAGGCUUGUCAAUAACAGCAAGUUGGUUUGCAAGUGCCUUUACCUUAUUUACAUGAGCCAUGAGAUCUUCACCUUCUUCCAUCUUCAUGGUGAAGAACUUUUGCGUUGACCAUAGCACAUUGGAAAGAUUCCUACUCUCAUAGACAUUGCAAAGAGUCUUCCAUGCAUCUGCUGCUCCUUUGCAAGAAAUGACAUGAGCAAAGUUGGUUUCAUCUAAGUUGGUGGCAAUUAUGCCAAAAGCCUUCUUUUCUCGUCUUUUGAAGUCCUUUUGCUCCUUCAUGCUUGCCUCUAAUCCAGGUGUUUCUUUGUCACGGACACAAAAUACAGACUUGAAAUCUAACAAGAAGUUCAAGAAGAAGUGGCAGAACUAGAUUAAACAGAUGAGUACAAGAAGAACACCAGAAAGGUGAGCUAGACUUCCAAGAGAUGUGUUGUCGAGACUGAAGAACCCUUCAGCCUCGACUCCUAUAUAUACUACUGAAUAGGAAGCUUCUCGAGCUACUUCCGCUAACUAGGACGCUUCUCCAACAACUUCUACUAAUUAGGAAACUUCUCGAGCAACUUCUUAGAAUCUAUCACAAUAUUCUAGAACCUUCUAAGAAUAUUCUAGAACCUUCUAAAAAUAUUUUAGAACCUUCUAAGAGAAUCUUUAGGGAAUAUUCUAAGAAUCUUUUAGAACCUUCUGAAGGAAUCUUUAGAGAAUCUUUAGAGAAUAUUCUAGAAGAAUAUUCGAAGAAUCUUCUAAUGUAUGUCCAUGACAUCACCUCCUCUUCUAACUUCGAGGUCUCCGAGAAGCAAUGUUGUUAUCAGUCAAUACCAACGCAAGAAAAUGAAAAUCUAUCGCAUCACAUCCGCUAUGAAUUCCAAUUGUUGUUCGUGAGGCAAAUGAUUCAUCGGCCCUUGGAGCCAACGGUAGUGACCAACACCUUCAACCUCUGACCAAGCGUGGACUUCUGUGUCUUCAUUGUGAAACUGUCCUCCAAACACACCUUCUGGCUGACCGUCUUAGGCAGGCUCGACCUCAAAUACAAUUACUAGCGAUCUUUUGCUCGGUAUCCUCCGACGUCGUCGUGGUGCAGGCGGUUCUUCAUCUCGCGGUCGUCUUCGUGAGCUAUGCACUUGAGAUGACAUAACAAGUGUAGUAUCUUGACUAUCUAUGUCCAAAGGCUAAAAUGAUGAGAGCAAACUAUAGUUGCUAACAAAGUUCUACACUACCGAACUAUGGGUUUUGGAGGUGCCCUCCCUCCUUUUUAUGCAAAUGAUAGAAGGUCAACAACGGGCUAUGUGUUCUUUGUUAGAGUGGGAGCCAUAUCUUGGAAUUGUAAGAGACAACCAACCAUUGGAAGGUCCACAAUGGAGGCGGAGUACAUGGCAGCAAGUCAUGGAGCAAUGGAGGCAAUUUGGUUGAGGUUGUUAUUGGAAGAUAUUGGACUUGUGCAAUUGGAGGCCACUCCAUUGAGGUGUGACAAUCAAGGAUGUCUUGCUUUUGCAAAGAAUCCAAAGCAUCAUGCAAGAACCGAGCACAAUGAUAUUCAGCAUCAUUUCAUAAGAGAGAAGAUAGAGAUGGGGGUUAUUGAUAUGAUGUAUUGUGAAACCAAAGACAUGUUGGCUGAUUUAUUGACAAAAGCCUUGGUCAGAGAAAGACACAACAUGUUGAGUAAGGCAUUAGGAUUGAUAGGUAAUUGACCAAUAGCAAAGUGGGAGUGUUGAAAGAAAGUACUCUUCAAGUUCUUGCUAAUGGUCAAAUAGAAUAUAUGUAUUGUUAGGGAUAUCCCAUAUUGUUAGUUGCUGGUCCAUAGUGCCUUAGAGUACAAGGGUAGGGCUGGUCCUAGGUGAUAUCCCAUAUGGGUUGUAGCACUUGGUACUUUGAUACUAGAAUAUAAGCAAGAGGUUGGAAUGAGAAGAAUUAUCUCAUACCACACUUGAUUUGUGAAGUGCAACCUUGCUGGUCCUAACUUGCCUAUGUGGUGUUUAAUUUCUAUGUUUUAAUACAUUGGAGAGAUUCCUACUUUCAUAGACAUUGCAAAGAGUCUUCCAUGCAUCUGCUGCCCAUUUGCAAGAACUGACAUGAGCAAAGUUGCAUUCAUCUAAAUUGGUGGCAAUUAUGCCAAAAGCCUUCUUCUCUCGUCUUUUGAAGUCCUUUUGCUCCUUGAUGCUUGCCUCUACCCCAGGUGCAAGUUCCUCCUCAUCUACUAUCUCCCAAAGAUCCAAUGACACCAAAAGUAGCUCCAUUUUAGCCUUCCAGUGGUGAAAGUUGUCACCUAUAAACUUUUCUACUAUUCUUAAGCUAUCACCCUCAAAAGAUGCCAUCUCAAGCUACAAGUAGCUCUAAAAAACUCUUAAUUUGGAGUUGUAAUGCAAAAGAUAUGACUACUUAAAGAUUGCUGAACUACAAAUCCAGAAUUCGCUUUUUUGCAACUUUUUGCAUAUUUUGAGUCCAAAUUACGUCUAAAUGGUGGGGAAUGGUUUGUAAUGUGAUUUAAUGACUUUCAAACGUCUCUCUAACGUCACUUCACUCAAAAUCACUCACUUUCUGAUAAAACUCUCAAAUACUAGUGCUCCUUCAACAAAGACACUAUCAAGGUCUUGCACUAAGCUCAUACACUCACAAAUCCAGGAGCAAUGACUUCAAAAAUUCACCAGCAACACUCUACCAUAAGAUCUCAACCACCAAAAUCAAGCAACAAAGAAAUAAUGCAAGAACAACUUACUUGGUAAGAAAUAGUGGGCCCAUAACAUGUUGAAACAUAGAAAGCAUACUCCACACAAGUAAGUUAGGACCAACAAGGUUACACUAUAACAAAUAGAGUGUGGUAUGAGAUAAUUCUUCCCAUGUCAAUCCUUUCCUUAUAUACUAGUACCAAGGUACUAAGUGCUACAAUCCAUAUAGAAUAUCUCCUAGAACCAGCCCUCCCCUUGUACUCUAAUGCACUAUAGACCAGCACCCUACCUUAUGGGAUAUCCUUAACAACACUUGUACUCUAUUGACCAUUACCAACUACUUGAAGAGUUCUUUUCUUAACAGUUCCUUCCAUUGCACCAAGGCUUGCUGCCAUAUACUCCGCCUCCAUUGUAGACCUUGCAAUUGUAGGUUGUCUCUUGUAAUUCCAUGAAAUUUCUCCCACUCCCACAAAGAAUACAUAGCCUAUUGUUGACCUCCUAUCAUUUGCAUCUCCUGCCCAAUCUGCAGCACAAUAACCAUGCAAAGCAUUACUUUCACCUCCAAAGCACAAUUUGAAGUCCAAUGUACCUUUUAAGUACCUCAUGAUCCUCUUGAUGGUCGUCCAAUGGAUUGGCCCUGCUUUUGACAUGUGUUGACUCACAACACUCACUGCAUAAGCAAGAUCCACCCUUCUGCCAACCAUUGCAUACAUGAGUGACCCAACUGCUGCCUUGUAUGGAACACCUUGCAUUUGACCUUCAACUUGUGCAAACUCUUCAUCCGUGAGCUUCAUCAACUUCAAAAAGGUCUCCAAAGGUGUUCCAAUAGGCUUGCAAUCCUCCAUGUUGAAUCGUUUCAACACUCCUUCAAUGUACUUCCUUUGGCUCAUUGUGAUGGUCUUGUUAGCACGAUUUCUUGCAAAUUCCACUCCUAAGCAAUAGUGAAGCUCUUCCAAAUCACUCAUCUCAUAUUCCUUUUCUAACUUUUUCUUCAACCAAUCCAUCAUCUUUAGAGUAUUGGUUAAGAUGAUUAAUCAUCUACAUAAAGGAUAACAAUCAUCAAGAACUCUUUUGAUUGUAUCACAUACAUAGAAUGGUCAGCCUCACUUCUUUGGAAUCCCUCAUUAACAAAGAAUGUGUCAAUUCUUUGAUACCAUGCCCUUGGAGAUUGCUUGAAUCCAUUCAAGGAUUUCUUCAACUUACAAACAAGAUGUUAUUUAAAUAUAUAAAGCAAACUCGACACAAGCAAGUUAGGACCAGCAAGGUUGCACUUCACAAAUAAAAUGUGGUAUGAGAUGAUUCUUUCCAUGCCAACCCUAUUCUUAUAUACUAGUACUAAGGUACCAUGAGUUACAACCCAUAUGGGAUAUCUCUGAGGACCAGCCCUCUCCUUGUAUUCUAAGGCACUAUAGACCAGCAACUAACCUUGUAGGAUAUCCCUCAUUACUCAUAUACUUUAUUGACCAUUAGCAACAACUAAAUGAGUUCUUUCCUUCAACAUAUCAAAGACCAUCACAUUGAGUCAAAGCAAGUACAUUGAAGAAGUAUUGAAACGAUUCCACAUGCAAGAUUGUAAGCCCAUUGGAACUCCUUUGGAAGCCAACUUGAAGUUGAUGAAGCUAACGGAUGAGGAAUAUGCUGAAGUUGAGCAUCAAAUGCAAGGCAUACCAUACAAGGCAGCAGUGGGCUCACUCAUGUAUGCAAUGGUGAGUACAAGGAUGCAUCUUACAUUUGCAGUAAGUGUUGUAAGUCAACACAUGGCAAAACCAGGUCCUAUGCAUUGGGCAACCAUCAAAAGAAUCAUGAGGUACAUGAAAGGCUCUUUGAACCAUAAACUAUGUCUUGGAGGAAAUAAUAUUACAUUACAUGGAUAUUGUGAUGCGGAUUGGACUGGAGAUACAAAUGAUAGAAGAUCAACAACGGGCUAUGUAUUCUUUGUUGGAAUGGGAGCCAUAUCUUGGAAUUGUAAGAGACAACCAACCAUUGCAAGGUCCACAAUGGAGGCGGAGUAUAUCGCAGCAAGUCAUGGAGCAAUGGAGGCAAUUUGGCAACCUUGCUGGUCCUAACUUGCUUGUGUGGAGUUUGCUUUCUAUGUUUCAAUAGGUUAUGGGCCCACACUCUCUUACCAAGUAAGUUGUUCUUGCAUUAUUUCUUUGUUGCUUACUUUGGUGGUUGGGAUCUUAUGGUAGAGUGUUGCUAGUGUGUUUUUGAAGUCAUUGCUCCUGGAUUUGUGAGUAUAUGAGUUUUGUUCAAGACCUUGAUAGUGUCUUUGCUGAAGUAACACUAGUGUUUGAAAGUUUUAUGAGAUAGUGAGUCAUUUUGAGUGGAGUGACGUGAGGGAGACUUAUGAGAGCCAUAGAAUUACUUAACAAUUCUUUCUCCACCAUUUAGACGUGAUUCGGACUCAUAAUUUACAAAAAGUUGCAAAACAGCGAAUUCUGGGUUUGUGGUUCAGCGAUCUUUGAGUAGUGAUAUCUUCUCCAUUACAACUCCAAAUCAAGACUUUUUUUGGACCUACGUGUAGCUUGAGAUGGCAUCUUUUGAGGGUGAUAGCUUGAGAAUGGUUGAAAAGUUCAAAGGUGACAACUUUCACCACUGGAAGGCCAAAAUGGAGCUACUUUUGGCGUCAUUGGAUCUUUGGGAGAUUGUAUGUGAGGAGGAAGAGGCACCUGGGGUAGAGGCAAGCAUCAAGGAGCAUAAGGAGUUCAAAAGACGAGAAAAGAAGGCUUUUGGCAUAAUUGCCACCAAUUUAGAUGAGAGCAACUUUGCUCAUGUCAUUUCUUGCAAAGGGGCAGCAGAGGCAUGGAAGACUCUUUGCAACGUCUAUGAGAGUAGAAAUCUCUCCAAUGUACUAUGGUCAAGGCAAGAAUUCUUCACCGUGAAGAUGGAAGAAGGUGAAGAUCUCAUGGCUCAUGUGAAUAAGGUAAAAGCACUUGCAAACCAACUUGCUGUUGUUGACAAGCCUUUACUUGAAGAAGAUGUUGUGAUGACAUUGCUCUCAAGCCUUCCGGACUCCUAUUCCUCCCUCAUUGUGGCAUUGGAGUCAAUUUCAAGAAAAGAUCUUUGGACUAUGUCACGGCAAGACUAGCCCAUGAAGUGACCAAAAGAAAGCAAAAGGAGUCUAUUGGAGAGCAAUCAGCACUAUUCACGAGACCAAGUAAGGCAAGUACUUCCAUUCAACGUAAUCUUCCCAAAACUUGUUAUAUUUGUGGAAAACCAGGGCAUUUUGCUAGGAAUUAUUUCAAGGCAAAGAGAGGAGAAAGAGAGAAUGCCAAUAAUGCUUUUCAUGACCAUGGAGGUGAUGACUUUGCAUUCAUGGCAAAACAAACUUCUUCCAUGCUUGAUAUGAGCAAAUGGAUUGUGGAUUCUGGAUGUACCAAACACAUGACUCCAUACAAGUGUUCAUUUAACACUUAUCAACCAAUUCCAGCAACUAAGGUUUAGUUAGGUGAUAAUGGUAUGGUACAAGCCAUUGGAAUGGGCACCAUUGUAGUGGAAGUAGUGGUCAAGGGCAUAAGCAAGAGGAUCACACUCAAGGAUGUGUUGCAUGUGCCAAAGAUGAAGAAGAACCUCCUUUCGGUGAGUAAACUUGUAAGUCAUGGGUGCAAAAUGCAAUUCAAUAUGAAUGGAUGUUUUGUGAGAACCAUGGAAGGCAAAGAAGUAGCAAAAGGGAUUAGAGAUGGCAAUCUCUAUAUUAUCAAUUGCAAGCACAUCAAUGGAGUAGAGGUUGCUGCUUUUGCUGAAUUUCCAUCAAAUGAAGAUAAGGUGGGUAUUUGGCAUCAAAGAAUUGGACAUUUGAAUGCCAAAAGCAUGAAGGAGCUUCAAUCCAUGGUAAGUGGCUUAGACCUUGGCCAUUCUACUAUGAAUCUAUCUUGUGAAGGUUGCAUUCAAGGCAAACAACAUAGGACACCAUUUCCUAGUGGAAUUGCAACAAGAGCAAAUCAAUUGCUGGAGCUUGUGCAUUCGGAUAUUUGUGGACCCAUGAAAACAGCAUCUAUGAGUGGAGCAAGAUAUUUUGUCACAUUUAUUGAUGACUUUUCAAGGAAGGUAUGGAUUUAUAUCAUCAAGGCCAAAAGUGAGUGUUUUGCUAAGUUUAAGGAGUGGAAAGCACUUGUGGAGAAGCAAUGUGAGCAUAAGAUUAAGGUGCUGCGAUCGGACAAUGGAGGUGAGUAUUUGUCCAAAGACUUUGAUGAGUUAUUGAAGCAUGAAGGCAUUGCAAGACAAACCUCCACUCCCUAUACCCCACAACAAAAUGGAGUUGCUGAGAUGGCAAGGAGUAUGAUUCAUGCUCAAAAGCUUAGAUAUGAGUAUUGGGCGGAAGCUGUGGUAAAUGCCGUAUAUACAAGAAAUAGGUGUCCCACAAGUGCACUUGAAGGAAUGACUCCCGAAGAAGCUUGGACUGGUAAGAAACCUUGUUUAUCUCAUAUGAGGAUUUUUGGAUGCAUUGCAUAUGCUAAAGUUCCAAAUAAUAUGAGAGGCAAACUUGAUACAAAGGGUACAAGAUGUGCAUUCCUUGGAUAUUGUGAAGGCACCAAGGCAUAUAGGCUCAUGUGUUUAGAGACCAAAAAGAUCAUCAAAAGUCGUGAUGUAGAGUUCUUGGAGUAUAAGAGUGCAAGUGAAAAGUGGGAGAUGUGUCCAAGUGGGAGUAGUGGUGUGUUUGUGGACACAUCUUCAAUUUCAGCAAACAAAGAAGAAGAUGAAGAAGAGCAUUCUCAAAGUGAAGAUGGAAAUGAAGAUAUCAUUGAAGAAGAGCCCAACUCUAUAAAGACUUCAAUUCCAGCAAGAUACAACAAGGACAAUGAAGAGAAUGAAGAUGAAGAAUACCAACAAAUGAGUAAGAGAAAGCACUCCAUGAGUCAUACAAGGCAGCAAGAGGUGCAAGAAGGCUCAUCUUCUUUGCAUGAAAGAAGAUAUCCAAGACGUGAGAGAAGACUACAAGGUGAAUGGUGAAAGAACCACAUCUUUCCACAACAAUUGGAUGUAAGUGGGUGCUUAGAACCAAGAGAGAUGCAAACGAUUGAAGGUCA
rnacentral:lncRNA from 1 species